GAUGAACGCUAGCUACAGGCUUAACACAUGCAAGUCGAGGGGUAACAAGAGGAAAGCUUGCUUUUCUUGUUGACGACCGGCGCACGGGUGAGUAACGCGUAUCCAACCUGCCUAUAACUAGGGAAUAACCUUGCGAAAGUAAGACUAAUACCCUAUGAUUUCCUUUGAUGACAUCAGAUUAGGAAUAAAGAUUUAUCGGUUAUAGAUGGGGAUGCGUCUGAUUAGCUUGUUGGCGGGGUAACGGCCCACCAAGGCAACGAUCAGUAGGGGUUCUGAGAGGAAGGUCCCCCACAUUGGAACUGAGACACGGUCCAAACUCCUACGGGAGGCAGCAGUGAGGAAUAUUGGUCAAUGGGCGGAAGCCUGAACCAGCCAAGUAGCGUGCAGGGUGACGGCCCUAUGGGUUGUAAACUGCUUUUAUACAGGAAUAAAGUUAGCCACGUGUGGUUAUUUGUAGGUACUGUAUGAAUAAGGACCGGCUAAUUCCGUGCCAGCAGCCGCCGUAA
rnacentral:rRNA from 1 species